UGGGGAAUAUUGCACAAUGGGGGAAACCCUGAUGCAGCGACGCCGCGUGAGUGAGGAAGUAUUUCGGUAUGUAAAGCUCUAUCAGCAGGGAAGAAAAUGACGGUACCUGACUAAGAAGCCCCGGCUAACUACGUGCCAGCAGCCGCGGUAAUACGUAGGGGGCAAGCGUUAUCCGGAUUUACUGGGUGUAAAGGGAGCGUAGACGGAAUUGCAAGUCUGAUGUGAAAAUCCGGGGCCCAACCCCGGAACUGCAUUGGAAACUGUAUUUCUAGAGUGUCGGAGAGGCAAGUGGAAUUCCUGGUGUAGCGGUGAAAUGCGUAGAUAUCAGGAGGAACACCAGUGGCGAAGGCGGCUUGCUGGACGAUGACUGACGUUGAGGCUCGAAAGCGUGGGGAGCAAACAGG
rnacentral:rRNA from 1 species